UACCGCUUUUUCUGGGGCCCGUCUCCAAUCGACUUCGUCCGGAGCCGCGGCUGCGGACACGCAGGCUGCACGUCGGGAGCACGUCCCUAAGCGGUACUGCUUGAAGCACUCAGACUCUGAGGAACAUAAUUGAAGGCUGGAGGGACCUUAAAAGUUAGUAAUCUUUACACCCAACAGUGGGGCUCAAUUUCAUAACCCCAAAAUCAAGAGUCACAUAUGCUCCUGACUGAGGCAGGUUCCGUGGGAUGGUCUUCUGCACAGUUUUUUAUGUGGGUCUCCAAUGAUAUAAUCCAGGCACAUUAAUAUAGAGAUAAAGCAAAUAUGGUAAAUGACAACAGCUGUGGAAUCUGAGUGUGCCCAGACCAAAGGCCUCUGGACAUUUGCCAUCAUCAUGCUCUCCAACAGAUGACGGGCCUAUAGUGGCAGUGACAGGUUUGCCUUCUUUUCUAUUCCUUGCUGGAAUCUGUGGACCCUGUAUCCACCCCAACUUCCUGGGACAAGCAACUCUGAAUCCUUCUUGCCAUAGCAGCAUUUAGGAAAGGCAAAACUCUAGGGACAGAAAGCAGAUGAGUGGUUGCCUGGGGCCAGGGACCGAAGUGGGGACUGACCUUGAACAGGAACCAGGAAGUUUUCCGACUGCUGGAAGAAUUCUAAGGCGGUGGUGAGGGUUGCACCACUGUAUGAACUUAGACACACUCAUCAAUCUGUGUGUUUCAAAUUAAUACAUCCUCUGGUUUAUAAAUUAUAUCUCCAAGAAAAAAGAGAAAAAGAAAAGAAAUGAUCAACCAGGGGGGCGCCUGAGGAGGUUUCUGGAGUCCAGAAGCUCCUGGAAUGUUAACAGAUCUCGUACUAUGGCAGCUUUAGCAAUAUUAUUUUUUCCACCUUGUGUGAACAUAGGAGCUCUCUAAAGAGUCAUAAUGGUGAAGAGGAUGGGGACAUCCAAGGACCACAGGGCCUCUCUCUCAACACUGGUGAGAACCAGUUUCCUCCCCCUGGUUCUGUAGCUCCUGGCAGAGUUCUGGAAGCUGAUUAAAGAGAAGAUCAGAAAUAAUAGAUCACUCGUGCUGGGAGAUACCCCAAGCCGCCAUGUUGUCAGGAGAGGCUCCCGGUGAGGAGGAACUCCUACUUCCUGCUAAAAACCACCUGAGUGAUUUUGGAAGUGGAUUCGCAGGCCCCAGCCAAGCCUUCAGCUGACUGCAGCUCCAGCUGACAUCUGGAUUGUAAGAUGGGCUAUCUACCUAAUCUGCUUCCAAAUUCUUGACCCGUAGACACUCUGAGAUAAGAAAUGUUUACGGUUUGGGGCACCUGGGUGGCUCAGUCGGUUGAGUGGUUGAGCGUCCAA